UGCCAUCUGUGAGAUAUAUGGUGAAAUAAUCUCAUAGUGAAUGCCAUAUCUUUGUGAUACAUUUAAGGGACCUGUGUAUAGUGAAUGCAUGUGUGAACUCCAUGUUCCUGCAACUCUGCAAGUAUCUAUGAUGAAAAACAAUUUAUGGUUUGAUUUGAUCCAUAUGCUGUUUGUGCUUUGCACCUCUACAUAAUUGAAGCAUCAUAUACAAAGGUUCGAGAUAGCAUUUCAUGUUUUCAAUGACUACUGUAUGUGCUGUAUACUCUUCUGUCCAAUGCGAUGCAUGCAUGACUUGAAUGGAAUUAAAUUUCAUAGCAGCCAGAGUACUAUAUGUGCUGAUGCAUAAUUUUAUUUUGAUUGCAGGUUAUUAUUGGAUGCAAGCUAAAAAAGAAUGUAACUAGCUAUUUUCAUGUGCUAAGAUUGUAACAUGAGAUUUUGUAUCUAAUAUGCUAUAAUUCUGAUAUGGCUCAAUAUUCUCUAGCUUCUAGCAAGAGGAAGUUAUACAUCUGACUACUCAUUGCUGAUGUACUAAUCUCUGACUCUGAUCUUUCUUUACUUUUGGUGCGCAGGUGCUGUUGCUGGUGGAACCGAAUCCUACAUCCUGGGGCUGCAACAUCCCGUGCAAUGGUGUUCUGUUAGCUUUUGGUAGAACUUCAAAUCAAACUUUGCUGCUGCUGGUUCAUAUUCUUGAUGAAAUCCACCUUUUGUUGUUUCUGGUUAACUAUGUGGUCUUGGAAUGUUACUAUUAGUUUUCAUAGAUGGAAAUGUAUGUGAUGGAAAUAUUAUUCAUGUCAAUUUCGGCCUGAAUGGGUUGUGUAUAAAGCUAAAUCUGAAUAACUAAUAAUUAAUUUUGGGCUGAAAUUAGGCCCAACUUAGGGCCC